CGGCGGAGGAGGGGCCUCGGGGCGACGCGGGCUGGCGCGGCCGCCGAGGGAGCCGCUCCGGGAGAGGCGCUGAGCCAGAGCCGGCGACCUGGACCCUCGCUGGCGGUCGCUCGUGCAGGGCCGCUCUGGAGGCGGCUCUGCGGUGCGGGCCCGUGCGGAGACCGCGCCCUGGGACGCCGUCCUGCCGGCCCCCACCGCGGUCUCCGGGCUCUGUGGUCUCAGAGAGCAGCCUGGGCCCCUCUCCUCGGGCCAGGAGACCAGCGCGCGUUCCUCACAGGACAUCCCUGCCGCCUGCACCCCCGCAGACACACGCGUAAUGUCCACAGCCCCAGUGGAGACUGGCCCAGCUGGAGGCUGGCUUCUCCAGGCAUCUGGGCAGGUGACAGCUGGCGCGCACCGGACCUGCGGCCACCCCAGCCGGCAGAGCUGGCUUCCAGAGUGACCUCUCAACCGUCCUCUCCGCCCUUCCCUGGUGCUGCCUUCAAGGACGUCCAGUCGGCACCUGCUGGCCUUGGCCGGUCGGGAAUCCGUGCCCCCAGCCCGGGUGGGGACUGUGGGCCCCGGGGAGCAGGGCAUCACAGACUCCCCUGAUGGUGAGCCACCAGAGCUGCGUCCUCACGGGGCCCCCCCACACACCUCUGUGCCGCCUUCUCCCUGCUCCCCAUUCUUCUGUCUGGAUGCUUGUCUAUUCACACUUUGUCCCAGGAAACCAAAAACCCCACAAGAAAACCACAGACAAAAGCACCAACUGUAUCUAUCCCAGGGUCCACAAACAUACAGGCCUACUUGACCAGGUAGAAAAUACCAGUGAAUGAGGUGGUUUGCAAGGCCUGGUGGGUCCAUAAGGGGGCAACUGAUAGCGGCCCCUGCUGCUAUGCCAGGCGGAGGGCAGGCUCAGGGCUGCAAAAUACUCUGAAGACAAGUAGGAAAAUGAUCUUGUUUAGUAUGUAAUCUCUUGUGGUUAAACGUUUGUUUAGUCAGUAAGUCGGGUCUGGCUCUGUGACCCCAGGGACUGCAGCCUGCCAGGCUCCUCUGGCAUGGGAUCCUCCAGGCGAGAAUACUGGAGUGGGUUGCCAUGCCCUCCUCCAGGGGAUCUUCCCGACCCAGGGAUCAAGCCUGCGUCUCCUGCAGUAGCAGGCGGGCUCCUGACCACUGGCUGAGCCGCCUGGGAAGCUCUCAAGUGUACCAGCUCAGAGCCUAAACAACAUGCCUGCUCGAGUUGUCCUCCAAGAACUCGGCUUCAGCUGCCCCUGGUGUGAGCUGAGCUGUGGGACCACGGCCCCUCCAACUGGGCCGGCACGGGUGUCCACAGGGUGACCUUUGGAAGGUGCAGACGCCAGGCCCUGGUUCCACCUGCACAGACCCACGAUGGGACGCCGUUCCCCACCACCUCUCCCUAUUUCUUAUUCCUGAUCCCAUCAUGCCCCAGCCUCUUGCCUGCCCAGAGGUUCAUUUUCCUGUCUCCAUGCUUGGCUGCCUUCUGAAUAAACCCUCAAACCUUGGCAUCUCAGGCGUCUCCGUGGAGUGUGGCCUGCUCCGUGUCAGAAGAUGCUUUUGGAGCCACGUUUAAGAGUUCUUCACCAAGCCUUAGCUCUUGAGUACUUUUCCUGUGUUUUUCCCAAGUGUCCAGUCCUACAGUCUCAGAGCUUUACAGGCUGUGAUCCAUCUGGAGCUGUUUUGCAUCCCGUGCAAGGUUUAGCUGGUUUUCCCCCCGGGUGACGUGCGGUGAGCUUCGGGCCGUCGUGACUCGGCGUUGUCCACGCUGUGAAACGACCACCACCCUUCGUCACGCGCACUGGCGUUUUUGUGACGAGGAUGUUAAGGUCUGCUCUCCCGGUGGCUCCACACAUGCAGGUUUCCGAACCAGGCACCGGGCCGUGCGUGACCUCCCCAGGACUGACUUCGUAAAGGCCUUCCUGGCCUCCCGGCCCUCCACCCACGCUGCUCGCCACACGCGCUGGCCCUGGUUCCGUGUGCUCUCCGCAUCUGCGGACUUGGGUUUUCACUGUGUGUUCUCCAGAUUCCACACGUUCGGCUCAUGGGCAAAGUCAGGGCAAGUCAGGUGGAACGCACGCUCCCUCACAGGGUGAGAGAUGGGUCAGGGUCAGGCUCAAGGCCAGUUUCAAGGUAAAGACCUGGCCUGAGGUUAAGGAUGAAGUCAACCGAAAGUCAGGACAAGACGUGGGCACAGUGAGUGAGUGACAGUCAUUUCAAGGCCGAGGGUGUCAGGGUCAGCAUCGGCGCAACAGCCCUCGGCUGUUUCUCAAAGGAACCGCUUCUUUGUUGGAACUGAGAUGAACGUAGACACACCACUGUCAGGAGCCGCCUUAGGCAUUACUGACAAAAUAGGGGCACGGCCCUAAACCCCCUCCCUUUGUUCCGUAGGCACGGACCCGGAAUGAAGGAGUUAGGCUUUGUGAUUCUGACUUGUGUUUUCCUUUCCUCAGCUGAGUUGACGGAAGAGAAUAUUAAGGUACUUAUUGUUUUUGAGAGGAGCAGGAGAAGGCAUAAAGCCUUCUGCAGCUGUGCUCAAAGAAUAAUCCAUAAAGUUAAUCACUGACAUCUGUUCAAGGACUUUUACAAAAAAGUGUUCCAGGGUGAGCAUGCAGGCCACAGCUUGAGGCCAUGGGAGGGAUUCUAUCUGAAGCUUAUUUGUGAGAAAAGUGUUUAUGGGAAAGGAGUUUGCUGAAUUUAGGGCUUAGGAAUAAUUAAAGUAGUUAGGAACUAAAGGUUUAAGGAUUGCUGUAAUGUUACAAUAUUCUACUAUAGCUUAUAGAAAUUAGGGACUUCAGAGAUAUUAUUAGCUAGAAGCCCUUUCUAAGAAAUAGUGAGCUUAGGAUGCUAGGGGCAGACAGGACUUAGAAAGAUAAGAAACAGGAAUGCGGUACGCAGCCCAGACAUUAGCAUGAGUUACAGUGUAUUCACAAGGACACAUGAGAAAAAGUAGGUAAGAGAAUCGCUGAGGCAGAAACUCUUUCUGAGGGGCAACAAUGAUCUUUGGAGAAAAAUAAAUCGGGGUCAACGGGAACUAAAAAUGUCAAACCUCUGACCUAAUGCCUUUGUAAAAGUAGAAAAGAG
ensembl:lncRNA